rnacentral:SRP_RNA from 1 species
GGCGCCCUCCGUGCGACGUCGUCCCGUUCACUCCCCCAGGGCUUGACCGCAGCAAGGGUCGAUGGGCUCCGGCGGGUGCACGGAGGGCCCUGCG